rfam:Schistosoma rodhaini strain Burundi genome assembly, scaffold: SROB_scaffold0014396
AUCCAGCUGACGAGUCCCGAAUAGGACGUCCUGGAU